UUAACUGUGUAAAUAAUGUUAAUUAAUGUACAUUUCAGUCUUUUUGAAUAUUGUUUCAGUUCAAUUUCCUAGAUCUUGUUACAUUGUCAGAUGAACAACAGGCUGCUUUCGUUAAACGAUCUAGUUCAAAGUAUUAAAAGACAGACCAGUAAAACAACAGUAGCAGGUAAGCAAGGAAUGUUUCAACCAAAGAAUUAUUCAAUUAAUAAGAAGUGAUACAGACGCAAAACAUUUUAUUUUCUAAUAUGUUGAUUCUCCAUUAACAUUUAGAAUGUUAUUUUUAAAAAAAGAUAUAAAUAAAAUACAGACGUCUAACAAAAACUGUAUUUGCAUUCAUCAGAGGACAGCUUUUCCAGUAUGGUCUUUCCAGAUGUUGGUGUCGAAGAUAAGCCAUUCCUUAUGAAACUGUCAUUGGAAAACAUGCUUCCUUUCACCUUUCCCAUCUACACACCUCCUAACCAGACUGAUGAACUUGCUCCUCACGCAUUGGGACCUGUACCUGUCAAACCAACUGAAGUAAAAUUUAAACCAGUAGUCCCAUUCUACAAUUUAAAGGUUCCCCAGCACUUCAAACUGAUGGGAUAUCAAACAAAGUCAGCCCUUGAUGCAUCAACCAGUUGUGUUCCCCAAACACUGUCUCGGCUUCUUAGGUCAGGUGCUGAGGAUGAGCUGAUCCCAGCAGCGACCUUGCCUUCUUCUGCAACCCAGUUAGCUGACCUAGAGGAAGAGCAGAUCCUGGAAUGGGAGAAAAACGCUUCUGCUGCUCUAUCAUUAACCCCACCUGAAGCUCUACUGAGAUCCCCUGAGUGCCAUCUUCUAAAGAUUUUCAUAAAACCCUGCUCCUGGUCUUUAUGCAUUUAAGCAGCCCCUCUCCUACUUAGAAACUGACCUUGAAUUUCACCUGUGCCCAGUCCCAAGAUACACUGUCAUCAAGGAUGCUGCAGCAAGGGCUAAUGUUCCCAGCACACAGAAGAAAUUUCUUGAUCAAGAGGAGGUGAUUUGCGGUGUAAUGGCGUGGAAGAAGUUUCCGUUGGCAUCUCUUGCUGCUUUGUCUCUAACUGCAACCUUGAGCAGCUCAUGGACACCUCAAGAGUAAGCAUGCUGGAAUUCAGUCUUCACUGACUUGCCCCUUGAUGAUUGAUCUUGUUUAAUUAUGGAAGCUUUCAUUGAGCCAGUUACUCAGUACAAAUGCAUGUACUUUGAUUACGCUUCUAGUAGUUAGCCACACAUCAGCCUUUGUUGUGCUCCACUGUAGUUUGAUAAAUGUGACGUUCCGCACAUAAUAUACUGUUAGCAUUUCUUUCUGCUGUGUUAACUGAAUGGAGGUAAGUGCUGAAGACAGAUAAUCAAUUCAAAUGGAACCUUGGCUAAUUAUACUUGUUCUUUUUCAAAGCUAACACUUUUCAAGUUCAGGCUUGUGAUUAUACAAUUAAGAAGUCACUGUCAAAACAAGGGUCAUUUUUUUACAUACACAUACAAAUAAAAAUCUAGAAGGUAUAGCAGGACAAGAUACACAGAUUCCAAUGCAACCUAUACAUUACUCAACCCCAAAGCUGUAUUUUGUCUAAAACUCUUUUAACUGUUUUAUUACCGCCUUUUAGUUGAUGUCCAUCAUUUCACUAUGUUAUGACUAUGAAGUAAACACAUAGGAUUCUCUCCAGUUGAUAAUGAUUUAUUGGGACAAGGUGUUGAUUUUAAUUUUUGAUUUUUUUUUUAUAUAUACUUUAGAUCAGACCCUUUUGGCACAGAUUUACUUCCUACUGCAGUCCCUCCAGCACUGGAUGGCUUAGCAGAAGACAUCGAAGAAGAUGUAUUGGAGGCUGUGGCAAAGUGGUUGGUAAGGGGAACAGAUGUCGCGGUGAUGCGGUGCAGGAGUG